GCCGGUUUAGCUCAUCAGGUAGAGCAGACGAUUUUGAUUUGUAAUCAUCAGGUAGCGGGUUCGAGUCCUGCAACCGGCACCA
rnacentral:tRNA from 1 species